CAGGUUGAAGCAUGGGUAAAACCAUGUGGAGGACCGAACAGGUGAACGUUGAAAAGUUCUCUGAUGAGCUGAGGGUAGGAGUGAAAGGCUAAUCAAACCCCGUGAUAGCUGGUUCUCUUCGAAAUGCAUUUAGGUGCAGCGUCACGUGCUGAUGCGCGGGGGUAGAGCACUGACAAGGCUAGGGGGCACACCCGCUUACCAAACCUUAUCAAACUCCGAAUACCGUGCAAUGGAACGUGGCAGUGAGACAGUGGGGGAUAAGCUUCAUUGUCGAGAGGGAAACAACCCAGACCAGCAGCUAAGGUGCCUAAAUAACGCUGAGUGGAAAGGAUGUGGGAUUACACAGACAGUGAGGAUGUUGGCUUAGAAGCAGCCACCAUUUAAAAAAUGCGUAAUAGCUUACUCAUCGAGUGAUCCUGCGCCGAAAAUGAUUGGCGAUCAAGCGUUAUACCGAAGCUCUGGACUUUGCCGCAAGGCAGAGUGGUAGAAGAGCGUUGCAUGCGCAUUGAAGGGUGAUGGCGACUGACCCUGGAGCGCAUGCAAGUGAGUAUGCAGACAUGAGUAACGUAAAGCCGGGUGAAAUCCCCGGCCGCCGUAAACCCGAGGUUUCCAGGGCAACGUGUUUCGUCCCUGGGUUAGCCGGGACCUAAGCCGAGGCCGAGAGGCGUAGGCGAUGGAUAUCAGGUUAAUAAUCCUGAGCUCGCGACCCUUAAACUGGGGGGACGCAUGAGAAGAGAUGACCAGGUUAUUGAAUUCCGAGCUGGGUCCACGGACCCAGCGCAUCAUCAAAUCGAGUGCCAAGAAAAGCCCCAGCGUAUGCUAAGCGACCCGUACCGCAAACCGACACAGGUGGGUGGGUAGAAUAUACCAAGGCGUAAGAGUGAAACCUGGUUAAGGAACUCGGCAAAUUAGCCCCGUAACUUCGGAAGAAGGGGUGCCUGCAGCGAUGCAGGCCGCAGAGAAAUGGCCCAACCGACUGUUUAUCAAAAACACAGCACUCUGCAAAGACGCAAGUCGAAGUAUAGGGUGUGACACGUGACCAAUGCCGAAAGAUUAAGGCAAGGGGUUAGCCGCAAGGCGAAGCUCUGAACCCAAGUCCCGGUGAAUGUCGGCCGUAACUAUAACGGUCCUAAGGUAGCGAAAUUCCUUGUCGGGUAAGUUCCG
rnacentral:rRNA from 1 species